rnacentral:sRNA from 1 species
GUCUGGGCUUCCGAGUAUGUUUUAUGACGGUUGAUUUUACACCAGGAGGUUUGUCUCCGAGGAAGACCCAGGGAACUGGAUAUCUAGCGAGAACUUCCUCCGGAUUCCCCGGCGCCUCGGGAAAAUGGGAGCUGCUGCAAAGUUGGCGUUUGCCGUCUUUCUUAUCUCCUGUUCUUCAGGUGCUAUACUUGGUAGAUCAGAAACUCAGGAGUGUCUUUUCUUUAAUGCUAAUUGGGAAAAAGACAGAACCAAUCAAACUGGUGUUGAACCAUGUUAUGGUGACAAAGAUAAACGGCGGCAUUGUUUUGCUACCUGGAAGAAUAUUUCUGGUUCCAUUGAAAUAGUGAAACAAGGUUGUUGGCUGGAUGAUAUCAACUGCUAUGACAGGUAAGAACGCAUUUAAGAUUUUAUGGUAGUAUUGAGUAAUUUUCACACUUCCCCUCUUUUUGAAAGGGGAAAGAUUAGUGCAUGAAUUUUCACUUAAAUGUUUCUUGCUUUUUUAAAAAUGGGAUUAUAAAGAAUAUUAUAACAUGCUGUAAUGACAGUAUAUUUUAAAGUAAUAAACAUGGCAUAUUUAUGUUUUAUCUUUGAUAUAUUUUGAAUAAUCUACCCGGUAGUGAGAACUCUGAAAUAAAAACCAUUUUCCCCAAUAUUGUUAUGAUUAUAAACUUUUAAAAUGCCAGUUUUAAGGAAAACAUUUAAAAAAUUACUUUAAAAGAGUAUAUCUGUUGAAAAUCUGUCCUCAAGAAGAAUAAAACUUAAUCAUGUGUUUAAUUUUCUUUCAGUUUCCUUCUUUAUGUAUCUGGAAGAAAUUGAUCUUACUACAUCCCCCCCCCCGCCCCCUUUUUUUUUUCUUGCAAAGUAGGCCUUUCGCUCUUUACCCGAAGAGACUUUUUAUUUUUGAGACAGAUUUAGCUCUUGUUGCCCAGGCUGGAGUGCAAUGACGCAAUCUUGGCUCACCGCGACCUCCGCCUCCCAGGUUCAAGCAAU